UACGUAGGGGGCAAGCGUUGUCCGGAUUUAUUGGGCGUAAAGAGCGUGUAGGCGGCCUUGCAAGUCCGUUGUGAAAACUCGAGGCUCAACCUCGAGACGCCGGUGGAAACUGCAAAGCUAGAGUCCGGAAGAGGAGAGUGGAAUUCCUGGUGUAGCGGUGAAGUGCGCAGAUAUCAGGAGGAACACCCGUGGCGAAAGCGGCUCUCUGGGACGGUACUGACGCUGAGACGCGAAAGCGUGGGGAGCAAACAGG
rnacentral:rRNA from 1 species